GUGUCAUAUGCCAUUAACAUUGCAUAGUCCCAUUAUGUCUUUAUCUACUUCAUUAAUACCUAAAAUUAUGCUAAUCACAUUGGUUAGCUCAAUUACAUAGAAGUAGAGUAAAAAAUAAGAAACUAGACACUUUGUUCUCUAAACUUAGCUAAAUAUGGAUAGGUUAUGGUGCUUAGGCAUAUAAAUACACCCAAGAUCACCAUC
rnacentral:lncRNA from 1 species